CCCAAACACAGCGCCUUAACCCGGCUCUCCCCCCAAAAUUCGCGCGCCUGUGUUUAGCCACGGCCCCCCCACCUCGGGCGCCACCCGGCCCCAUCUGCGGCCUCGGUGGGCUCAGGGACGCAGAGCUCACACCCAGAAACAGAAAAAGUCAGCCUCCACUAGUCCCGGGGUCAAUAAUAAUAAACUAACAUUUAUUGAGCUGGGCACCGCGCUAAGUGCUUCACAGAGGUAAUCUCCUCUAAUCCUCAGAGCGACCUAUGAGGUGAGAAAACUGAAGCUUAGCAAGGUUGAAGGACUGACUCAAGGUUACAAGAUGACAAAGUGACAGGACGGGGCUCCAAACCCCUCUGAUGGACUCCAGGGUUACUGCUUUGGCCCAAGACAGACAGAGGAGGAGCGCGGAGAGGUCAAGAGGAGUUCCAGAACCUACAGGCAUGUCCAAGGACAGAGGCGAGACCCAGCCCGCAUCUCCCAGGGGAGCUCCUCGCUAAGGUCCCAGGCUCUUGGCCCGCAGCCAGAGAGAAGUGCGCCCAGGACAAAGCCCAGCACUCAGAGCCCCAGCCCGCGUGGACAGAGUGCUCGGGCUUGGCGACAGGGCGCGGAGUGAGCCCUGGCAACCUUACAGUCCCCCUAGCCUUGAUGCCAUCGAACUCUUGACCUCCGACCUGACACACCGGAGUCUCUACAGGGCAAAACCGUGAAACCCAGAGACCCAGAGUUGUGGACCUGGGCCUGGCUCCUCAGGCGAGUGGUGCCUUCCGUCCCUGGGACUGUGCGCCCUGGCGUGCCGCGGCUGCCCGGGGCCUUGGUCCUUUCCAGGUCCGGUCCUUGGCCAGUUCUGAGCAAGGCCAGCCCCUGCCCCGGCAACAUUCCUGCAGAGUCAGACAAGCUGGAACUGUUGCCAGAGCAGUGGGAAUUGUUGGGUACCCCCAGAGCUUCAGGAAACCAAGGGCAAGUGGGCGACUAGGCCAGCCGACCCCGAUGCCCACUGAUGCAGCAAACGUUCCUCCUGAGUCUUGGGAUUCGCUCUCCCCAGUGCGGACCAAAGACCGGGACCUCAAGGCUGGAUGCACUGUAGGCGGGAUAAGACUUUUAUUAAGCCACAAGAAUGUGGCAAACGUUUCUUUCCAAAUGAGAAAAGUCUUUUUCCUUCUCAAACGAUUUUAAGUGAGAUUUUCGUAAAGAUUUCUAUGUCCUAGGAA